GAUGAAGAACGUAGCGAAAUGCGAUAAGUAAUGCGAAUUGCAGAAUUCAGUGAGUCAUCGAAUCUUUGAACGCACAUUGCGCCCUGUGGUAUUCCGCAGGGCAUGCCUGUUCGAGCGUCAUUUCAACUCUCAAGCUCUGCUUGGUGUUGGGCCCUGCCCGCUGCGGCCGGCCCUAAAGACAGUGGCGGUGCCGCCUGGCCCUGAGCGUAGUACAUCUCUCGCUCCAGUGCCCGGUGGUAGCCUGCCAGAACCCCAACUCUCGUGGUUGACCUCGGAUCAGGUAGGGAUACCCGCUGAACUUAAGCAUAUCAAUAAGCGGAGGA
rnacentral:misc_RNA from 1 species